ACGAACGCUGGCGGCGUGCUUCACACAUGCAAGUCGAACGGUGAAGCGCCUUCCUUUUUGGUGGGUGUGGAUGAGUGGCGAACGGGUGAGUAACACGUGAGUAACCUGCCCCCUUCUUCUGGAUAACCGCAUGAAAGUGUGGCUAAUACGGGAUAUUCUGGGUCUGUCGCAUGAUGGGUCUGGGAAAGAUAUUGUUUCGGUGGGGGAUGGGCUCGCGGCCUAUCAGCUUGUUGGUGGGGUGAUGGCCUACCAAGGCGGUGACGGGUAGCCGGCCUGAGAGGGUGGACGGUCACACUGGGACUGAGACACGGCCCAGACUCCUACGGGAGGCAGCAGUGGGGAAUAGUGCACAAUGGGCGCAAGCCUGAUGCAGCGACGCCGCGUGAGGGAUGGAGGCCUUCGGGUUGUGAACCUCUUUCGCCAGUGAAGCAGGCCUGCCUCGUUUGUGGGUGGGUUGACGGUAGCUGGAUAAGAAGCGCCGGCUAACUACGUG
rnacentral:rRNA from 1 species